GUUGUAGCUCAGUGGCAGAGCACUUGCCUAGCAUGUGUGAGGCCCUGGGUUCAAUUCUCAGCAUUACA
rnacentral:tRNA from 1 species